rnacentral:ribozyme from 1 species
ACAGAAGAGAUGAAGAAUGCAACAUCAAAGAAAAUAGAAGAGUGGAAAGAAGGUCACAAAUAAGGAUGUCAAAGGUUGUCAAAUAUUCCUAGUUUUUUCU